CAGCCGCCGCGGUAAUACGUAGGGGGCGAGCGUUGUCCGAAGUUACUGGGCGUAAAGGGCUCGCAGGCGGUUUCUUAAGUCUGAUGUGAAAGCCCCCGGCUCAACCGGGGAGGGUCAUUGGAAACUGGGAAACUUGAGUGCAGAAGAGGAGAGUGGAAUUCCACGUGUAGCGGUGAAAUGCGUAGAGAUGUGGAGGAACACCAGUGGCGAAGGCGACUCUCUGGUCUGUAACUGACGCUGAGGAGCGAAAGCGUGGGGAGCGAACAGGAUUAGAGACCCCCGUAGUCCCUGUCUCUUAUAC
rnacentral:rRNA from 1 species